CAGAGGGGAAUGGGGGUACAUAGAAGGGCACCAAGGGGCGGAUGGGGGUAGGUGGGUGGGAGGCCAGAGGGCAAUAGGCUCAGGAGGGGGAUGGGAGUAGGUAGGAGGGAGGCCGGAGGGCAAUAGGCUCAGGAGGAGGAUGGGGGGUAGGUAGGUGGGAGGCCGAAGGGGGAUGAGGGUAGGUAGAAGGGAGGCCGGAGGGCAAUAGGCUCAGGAGGAGGAUGGGGGUAGGUAGGAGGGAGGCCAGAGGGGGAUGGGUGUAGGUAGAAGGGAGGCUGGAGGGCAAUAGGCUCAGGAGGGGGAUGAGGGUAGGUAGGUGGGAGGCCGGAGGGGGAUGGGGGUAGGUAGAAGGGAGGCUGGAGGGCAAUAGGCUCAGGAGGGGGAUGGGGGUAGGUAAGUGGGAGGCCGGAGGGGGGUGGGGGUAGGUAGAAGGGAGGCUGGAGGGCAAUAGGCUCAGGAGGGGGAUGGGAGUAGGUAGGUGGGAGGCCGGAGGGGGAUGGGGGUAGAUAGGAGGGAGGCUGGAGGGCAAUAGGCUCAGGAGGCGGAGGGGGAGGGGGUGGGGGUAGGUAGGUGGGAGGCUCCGGCCGGGGUGUGGAGGAGGUUAGACAGGUGGGACGCCCAGGCUGGGGAUCUCUUACGGGGGAGGGGGGCGCUAAUUUUGGCCCGGGCAGGGGGUGAGACGCGCUGUAUUUGGGCGGAUGUUUAGAGGGGGGCUGGUCCUGCUCCUGGAGGGAGCCAGCGGUUCCGCCCCGUCCCCCUCGCCCGCGGACGCUGCUGCAGCAGGAUGUGAGCGGCGCUGCCGGUGUCCGCGUCCCUGCCAAGAACCAGGUCUCCCCGCGUCAGCCUGGCCCGGGAGGGGCAGCUGCGUUACCUGGCAACGAGCCCACGCCGGCCCGCGGCCCUGGGCGCCUCCCCGCCCCACAGAGGGGUGGG